UAGGGAAUCUUCCGCAAUGGGCGAAAGCCUGACGGAGCAACGCCGCGUGAGUGAUGAAGGUCUUCGGAUCGUAAAACCCUGUUAUUAGGGAAGAACAAAUGUGUAAGUAACUAUGCACGUCUUGACGGUACCUAAUCAGAAAGCCACGGCUAACUACGUGCCAGCAGCCGCGGUAAUACGUAGGUGGCAAGCGUUAUCCGGAAUUAUUGGGCGUAAAGCGCGCGUAGGCGGUUUUUUAAGUCUGAUGUGAAAGCCCACGGCUCAACCGUGGAGGGUCAUUGGAAACUGGAAAACUUGAGUGCAGAAGAGGAAAGUGGAAUUCCAGGUGUAGCGGUGAAAUGCGCAGAGAUAUGGAGGAACACCAGUGGCGAAGGCGACUUUCUGGUCUGUAACUGACGCUGAUGUGCGAAAGCGUGGGGAUCAAACAGG
rnacentral:rRNA from 1 species